AGUGAACGCUGGCGGUAGGCCUAACACAUGCAAGUCGAACGGCAGCACAGAGGAGCUUGCUCCUUGGGUGGCGAGUGGCGGACGGGUGAGGAAUACAUCGGAAUCUACUCUGUCGUGGGGGAUAACGUAGGGAAACUUACGCUAAUACCGCAUACGACCUACGGGUGAAAGCAGGGGACCUUCGGGCCUUGCGCGAUUGAAUGAGCCGAUGUCGGAUUAGCUAGUUGGCGGGGUAAAGGCCCACCAAGGCGACGGUCCGUAGCUGGUCUGAGAGGAUGAUCAACCACACUGGAACUGAGACACGGUCCAGACUCCUACGGGAGGCAGCAGUGGGGAAUAUUGGACAAUGGGCGCAAGCCUGAUCCAGCCAUACCGCGUGGGUGAAGAAGGCCUUCGGGUUGUAAAGCCCUUUUGUUGGGAAAGAAAUCCAGCUGGCUAAUACCCGGUUGGGAUGACGGUACCCAAAGAAUAAGCACCGGCUAACUUCGUGCCAGCCGCCGCGGUAA
rnacentral:rRNA from 1 species